rnacentral:rRNA from 1 species
GACGAACGCUGGCGGCGUGCUUAACACAUGCAAGUCGAACGGAAAGGCCCUGCUUUUGUGGGGUGCUCGAGUGGCGAACGGGUGAGUAACACGUGAGUAAAAUGCCCUUGACUUUGGGAUAAAUUCAGGAAACUGGGGCUAAUACCGGAUAGGAGCUCCUGCUGCAUGGGGGGGGUUGGAAAGUUUCGGCGGUUGGGGAUGGACUCGCGGCUUAUCAGCUUGUUGGGGGGGUAGUGGCUGACCAAGGCUUUGAAGGGUAGCCGGCCUGGGAGGGUGACCGGCCACAUUGGGACUGAGAUACGGCCCAGACUCCUACGGGAGGCAGCAGUGGGGAAUAUUGCACAAUGGGCGGAAGCCUGAUGCAGCAACGCCGCGUGCGGGAUGCCGGCCUUCGGGUUGUAAACCGCUUUCGCCUGUGACGAAGCGUGAGUGACGGUAAUGGGUAAAGAAGCACCGGCUAACUACGUG